GAUGAACGCUGGCGGCGUGCCUAAUACAUGCAAGUCGAGCGAACAGACGAGGAGCUUGCUCCUUUGACGUUAGCGGCGGACGGGUGAGUAACACGUGGGUAACCUACCUAUAAGACUGGGAUAACUUCGGGAAACCGGAGCUAAUACCGGAUAAUAUUUCGAACCGCAUGGUUCGAUAGUGAAAGAUGGCUUUGCUAUCACUUAUAGAUGGACCUGCGCCGUAUUAGCUAGUUGGUAAGGUAACGGCUUACCAAGGCAACGAUACGUAGCCGACCUGAGAGGGUGGUCGGCCACACUGGAACUGAGACACGGUCCAGACUCCUACGGGAGGAAGCAGUAGGGAAUCUUCCGCAAUGGGCGAAAGCCUGACGGAGCAACGCCGCGUGAGUGAUGAAGGUCUUCGGAUCGUAAAACUCUGUUAUUAGGGAAGAACAAACGUGUAAGUAACUGUGCACGUCUUGACGGUACCUAAUCAGAAAGCCACGGCUAACUACGUG
rnacentral:rRNA from 1 species